AUGAAGCCGGAAUUGCUAGUAAUGGCAGGUCAGCAUACUGCCGUGAAUACGUUCCCGGGCCUUGUACACACCGCCCGUCACACCAUGAGAGUUGGAAAUACCCGAAGCCUGUGAGCUGACGAGUUACGGGGCAGCAGUCGAAGGUAGAGCCAAUGAUUGGGGUGAAGUCGUAACAAGGUAGC
rnacentral:rRNA from 1 species